GACGAACGCUGGCGGCGUGCUUAACACAUGCAAGUCGAACGGAAAGGCCCUGCUUUUGUGGGGUGCUCGAGUGGCGAACGGGUGAGUAACACGUGAGUAACCUGCCCUUGACUUUGGGAUAACUUCAGGAAACUGGGGCUAAUACCGGAUAGGAGCUCCUGCUGCAUGGGGGGGGUUGGAAAGUUUCGGCGGUUGGGGAUGGACUCGCGGCUUAUCAGCUUGUUGGUGGGGUAGUGGCUUACCAAGGCUUUGACGGGUAGCCGGCCUGAGAGGGUGACCGGCCACAUUGGGACUGAGAUACGGCCCAGACUCCUACGGGAGGCAGCAGUGGGGAAUAUUGCACAAUGGGCGGAAGCCUGAUGCAGCAACGCCGCGUGCAGGAUGACGGCCUUCGGGUUGUAAACCGCUUUCGCCUGUGACGAAGCGUGAGUGACGGUAAUGGGUAAAGAAGCACCGGCUAACUACGUG
rnacentral:rRNA from 1 species